CGGACGGGUGAGUAACACGUGGAUAACCUACCUAUAAGACUGGGAUAACUUCGGGAAACCGGAGCUAAUACCGGAUAAUAUUUUGAACCGCAUGGUUCAAAAGUGAAAGACGGUCUUGCUGUCACUUAUAGAUGGAUUCGCGCUGCAUUAGCUAGUUGGUAAGGUAACGGCUUACCAAGGCAACGAUGCAUAGCCGACCUGAGAGGGUGAUCGGCCACGCUGGAACUGAGACACGGUCCAG
rnacentral:rRNA from 1 species